CCCUUAGACGUUCUGGGCCGCACGCGCGCUACACUGACCAGUGCAACAAGCAUCCGUCCUUGGCCGACAGGCCCGGGCAAUCUUUGAACGCUGGUCGUGAUGGGGAUAGACUUUUGCAAUUUUUGGUCUUCAACGAGGAAUUCCUAGUAAACGCAAGUCAUCAACUUGCAUUGAUUACGUCCCUGUCCUUUGUACACACCGCCCGUCGCACCUACCGAUUGAAUGGUCCGGUGAAGCCUCCGGAUUGGCGCGCACCCCGGUGCCGCCGAGAAGUUGGCUAAACCUUACCAUUUAGAGGAAGGUGAAGUCGUAACA
rnacentral:rRNA from 1 species